UCGGAACGUGCCUAGUUGUGGGGGAUAACGUAGAGAAAUUUACGCUAAUACCGCAUGAGAUCCAAGGAUGAAAGCGGGGGACUCUGCAAAGAGCCUCGCGCGACUGGAGCGGCUGAUAUCAGAUUAGCUUGUUGGUGGGGUAAAAGCCCACCAAGGCGACGAUCUGUAGCUGGUUUGAGAGAACGACCAGCCACACUGGGACUGAGACACGGCCCAG
rnacentral:rRNA from 1 species